rnacentral:rRNA from 1 species
AGUCGAACGAGACCUUCGGGUCUAGUGGCGCACGGGUGCGUAACGCGUGGGAAUCUGCCCUUAGGUACGGAAUAACUCAGGGAAACUUGUGCUAAUACCGCAUGAUGUCUUCGGACCAAAGAUUUAUCGCCUAGGGAUGAGCCCGCGUUGGAUUAGCUAGUUGGUGGGGUAAAGGCCUACCAAGGCGACGAUCCAUAGCUGGUCUGAGAGGAUGAUCAGCCUCACUGGGACUGAGACACGGCCCAGACUCCUACGGGAGGCAGCAGUGGGGAAUAUUGGACAAUGGGCGAAAGCCUGAUCCAGCAAUGCCGCAUGAGUGAAGAAGGCCUUAGGGUUGUAAAGCUCUUUUACCCGGGAAGAUAAUGACUGUACCGGGAGAAUAAGCCCCGGCUAACUCCGUGCCAGCAGCCGCGGUAAUACGGAGGGGGCUAGCGUUGUUCGGAAUUACUGGGCGUAAAGCGUCCGUAGGCGGCUUGCCAAGUCAGAGGUGAAAUCCCACGACUCAAUCGUGGAACUGCCUUUGAGACUGGUUCGCUUGAAGAUGGGAGAGGUUAGUGGAAUUCCGAGUGUAGAGGUGAAAUUCGUAGAUAUUCGGAAGAACACCAGUGGCGAAGGCGGCUAACUGGACCAUUCUUGACGCUGAGGGACGAAAG